CGGCAUUCUUCAUGACCCUGAAGGAGCCAAGGAGAAGAAAUGGAGGAAUAAAGUUGAGGCUGGAGGCUGGAGAGUCUGUUAGCAAAAAUGACACUGGCUUUUGAGUUUGAAGAAGUUUGUUUUUGAGAGGAUGCGGUUUAAACUCCUUUUCCAUCCUCAGAAACUCGGUGCAACUGUUAUAAAGGGAAUAAAAACCAGAGAGAAUUUAAGAAAAAGGAAUGGACUCAAAUGCAAUGUAAGAGAUGGAUACAGACAAAAAUCCUGCCACUGCCUCUACCUGGAACUCUGAAGUUAGAGCAACAGUAACCAUGGAUGAGACUUGGAGCAUCCUCUUUAGAGGAUAUGAACCUGAUUGAUUGUGCAUCUUAAGCUGAAUGAUGGAUGGGGGACAGAAGAGAAUGGGAAAUGAUUCCUAGAUGUAGGAAGAAGUAGGUCCAAAGCACAGAUGUGCCUUCUGGGAACAGCAAAUAUUCUGGCUGGAGCUUAGAGCACUUAUUGAGCCAUUUUUUGAGAUGAGGCUAGAAAAGGAGAAAACAUCCUAUGGAAGGGUUUGUAUGUCAUUGUGAGAAGUUUGGAUUUCAUCAUCAAGCUAUGGGCCACCUUGAAGGAUUUUAAUAGUGGGUGUAAAUGAAAGUAGAGAGAUGACAUAAUUCUAGGGAUUGGAUCUUAUGAGAGUAGAAACCAAGAGCAAGUCUGCAUGAUGGUUGAGUGAAUCAGGAGAGGUAUGCUUUUAGAGGUACACUGGACAGGACUGAUGAUUGAUUAAGUGUAGGGGGUGGGCAAGUGAGGAGAGAAUAAUGAGGAGAUGCAACUGAUAUAUAAAGAUAUAGAGAGGGAUGGAAGUUAAAAUGAUGGGCGCUUUAAGAAAGAAGAGAUGAUUAACUCCCUGUGACAAAAUCUCAAAGCAGUCAAAUGGACUAAGAUUUACAUAUGGAUUUAUCGAUUAAGAAUGAAAUUGUGGGGCAGCCCCAAUGACUCAGUGGCUUAGCACUGCCUUCAGCCUAGGGAGUGAUC